UACGAAGGGGGCGAGCGUUGUUCGGAUUUACUGGGCGUAAAGGGCGCGCAGGCGGCAGACUAAGUCAGGCGUGAAAGCCCCGGGCUCAACCUGGGAACUGCGUUUGGGACUGGUUUGCUAGAGAUCGGGAGAGGAGAGUGGAAUUCCCAGUGUAGAGGUGAAAUUCGUAGAUAUUGGGAAGAACACCGGUGGCGAAGGCGGCUCUCUGGACCGAUACUGACGCUGAGGCGCGAAAGCGUGGGGAGCAAACAGG
rnacentral:rRNA from 1 species